AGGGAAUUAGUCCAAAUAUAAGACCUCUGAUUUCGGCUCAGAAAAUUGUGGUUUAAGUCCACGAUCCCCUU
rnacentral:tRNA from 1 species